UAAAGCGUGCGCAGGCGGUUAUACAAGACAGGCGUGAAAUCCCCGGGCUUAACCUGGGAAUGGCGCCUGUGACUGUAUAGCUAGAGUGUGUCAGAGGGGGGUAGAAUUCCACGUGUAGCAGUGAAAUGCGUAGAUAUGUGGAGGAAUACCAAUGGCGAAGGCAGCCCCCUGGGAUAACACUGACGCUCAUGCACGAAAGCGUGGGGAGCAAACAGGAUUAGAUACCCAGU
rnacentral:rRNA from 1 species